GAGUGGCGAACGGGUGAGUAACACGUAGGUAACUUACCUCUAAGACGAGGAUAACGACUGGAAACGGUCGCUAAAACUGGAUAGGAUCAUUGGAGGCAUCUCUGAUGAUUUAAAGGGGCUGAAAGGCCACACUUAGAGAAAGGCGUGCGGCGCAUUAGCUAGUUGGUGGUGUAGAGGACUACCAAGGCGAUGAUGCGUAGCCGGACUGAGAGGUCGAACGGCCACAUUGGGACUGAGACACGGCCCAAACUCCUACGGGAGGCAGCAGUAGGGAAUUUUCGGCAAUGGGGGAAACCCUGACCGAGCAACGCCGCGUGAAUGAAGAAGUAUUUCGGUAUGUAAAGUUCUUUUAUUGAGGAAGAAUGGUUAGUGUAGGAAAUGACACUAACGUGACGGUACUCAAUGAAUAAGCCCCGGCUAACUAUGUGCCAGCAGCCGCGGUAAUACAUAGGGGGCAAGCGUUAUCCGGAUUUAUUGGGCGUAAAGGGUGCGUAGGCGGCUUGUUAAGUCUAAGGUGUAAGUGCAGGGCUCAACCCUGUGAUGCUUUAGAAACUGGUGAGCUAGAGAUAGAUAGAGGCAAGUGGAAUUCCAUGUGUAGCGGUAUAAAAUGUGUAAAUAUAUGGAGGAACACCAGUGGCGAAGGCGGCUUGCUGGGUCUAUACUGACGCUGAGGCACGAAAGCGUGGGGAGCAAACAGGAUUAGAUACCCUGGUAGUCCACGCCGUAAACGAUGAGUACUAAGUGUUGGGGGAACCCAGUGCUGUAGUUAACAUAUUAA
rnacentral:rRNA from 1 species